UUGUGGACACGGCAGGUGCUGCAGACCGAUCAAUACUUGCAGAUAUGUCAACCAGAGUUGCGGUAAAGGUCGCCGGUGCCUCCCCUGCGGACCGUUCAAACGUCUCUGCUGCCAGCGCAGGGUCUCGCUGUACGAAUGCCAACGGCGUUGCCGGAAGCCCAACCACUGCGUCAAGUGCAAGAUUGGCUACUGCUGCCGCAAGGCCUGCUAUGGCAAACACUGCAAGCACUAACUGUUACUGGCACCAACUGCAACAGACUUCAACAACAGAACAGCUCGACAGAUAUGGCGCUAAAGCAACGACACAUUCAAGAAUAUGCGUUUUGGUCUCAUUUGUUCAAAAAAAUGCGCUAUAGUUGCUUCUGAAUAAACCUAUUAUCAUUC